ACAUGGAUCUGAUCACCACGNUGGAGAAAAUGCAGCUCGGAGGGCCUUCCAUCCGCCUGUCAGAGUUGCUGGAUGAGCUGAAGAAACAGAAUCCUGAUAACGAAGUCCAUCUCAACAACCUUAGAAAUGCGGUAUCAACACUUGCAAGUGAGGGAUUUGUAGCGAUCCAUGGUGAUAGCAUAAAGAGAAUGUGAGGAGCUUGAAGAUAUUGAUUGAUUACUUCAGAGGUAUGAAGCCAUGGCCUGAGAAAAACAUCCAUAUUUGGCAUCU